rnacentral:tRNA from 1 species
GCCGCCAUAGCUUAGCUGGUAGAGCAAUCGGCUGUUAACCGGUAGGUCGCAGGUUCAAAUCCUGCUGGCGGCG